rfam:Geobacter sulfurreducens PCA, complete genome.
CGGGGCGUAGCGCAGCCUGGUAGCGCACCUGCUUCGGGAGCAGGGGGUCGGAGGUUCAAAUCCUCUCGCCCCGA